AGGGUUUUUUUAGGGGGGGGGUUUUGGAUCCUGGGGGGGGGAAAUUUUGGAGGGUUUUUAUCCCUAUUUUUUGGAAAAGGGGGCCGGGGCCUCUCCCCUUCAAAUUGCCCAGUGGAUAGUAUAGGGGGGGUAAGGUCCCCUAGGGAGGAUCCCUAUGUUUGGGAGGAUGACCAGCCCCCGGAAUUGGGACCCGUCCAGAUCUCGGAGGCAGCAGGGGGAAUUUUGCCAAUGGGGGCAAGCCUGAUGCCAGCCAUGCCGCGUGUGAUAAUAAGUCUUUCGGGUUGUUAAAGCACUUUCAGCGAGGAGGAACGCUUCAGUGUUAAUACCCCUGUUGCAUUGACGUUACUCGCAGAAGAAGCACCGGCUAACUCCGUGCCAGCAGCCGCGGUAAUACGGAGGGGUGCAAGCGUUAAUCGGAAUUACUGGGCGUAAAGCGCACGCAGGCGGUUUGUUAAGUCAGAUGUGAAAUCCCCGCGCUUAACGUGGGAACUGCAUUUGAAACUGGCAAGCUAGAGUCUUGUAGAGGGGGGUAGAAUUUCAGGUGUAGCGGUGAAAUGCGUAGAGAUCUGGAGGAAUACCGGUGGCGAAGGCGGCCCCCUGGACAAAGACUGACGCUCAGGUGCGAAAGCGUGGGGAGCAAACAGGAUUAGAUACCCUGGUAGUCCACGCCGUAAACGAUGUCGACUUGGAGGUUGUGCCCUUGAGGCGUGGCUUCCGGAGCUAACGCGUUAAGUUGACCGCCUGGGGAGUACGGCCGCAAGGUUAAAACUCAAAUGAAUUGACGGGGGCCCGCACAAGCGGUGGAGCAUGUGGUUUAAUUCGAUGCAACGCGAAGAACCUUACCUACUCUUGACAUCCAGAGAAUUCGCUAGAGAUAGCUUAGUGCCUUCGGGAACUCUGAGACAGGUGCUGCAUGGCUGUGGUCAGCUCGUGUUGUGAAAUGUUGGGUUAAGUCCCGCAACGAGCGCAACCCUUAUCCUUUGUUGCCAGCACGUAAUGGUGGGAACUCAAAGGAGACUGCCGGUGAUAAACCGGAGGAAGGUGGGGAUGACGUCAAGUCAUCAUGGCCCUUACGAGUAGGGCUACACACGUGCUACAAUGGCGUAUACAAAGAGAAGCGAACUCGCGAGAGCAAGCGGACCUCAUAAAGUACGUCGUAGUCCGGAUCGGAGUCUGCAACUCGACUUCCGUGAAGUCGGAAUCGCUAGUAAUCGAGAUCGAAUGUGCCUUGCCAAAUACGUUCCCGGGGCCUGUACCCCCCCCGUCACCAUGGGAGUGGUU
rnacentral:rRNA from 1 species